GGAAAUCUCGUUGAGUUUGGGAGGCCUUACUUCUGCAUAUUUGAAUCUGGUGACCAAAUUAAACAUUGUUCUAACUGUAGUGGUCUGAUCAUUCUACCAAGGCCAUGACUGUGAAGAGCACUGUGGGUGAUGGCUGGUGGCUCACUGGAGCCGGCUUGUGCACGGCGCCUGAAGCCAAAGAAAUCUGAAGACCCGACCUUACUAUUGGCAAAGACAGACAAACACUCUACAAAUAGUGCUUGAAAAAUGCCACUGUUUGGUUCAGAUGGUGAAGAGGAACUCAGGAAGGCCUGGCAGUCUCUAGGAGGCUAGGGCAGUGGUUCUCAAAUGAUAGGGUGUACAGAAAUUCCCUGGAGGACUUGUGACAACAAAGAUUGCUAGGCCUACUCCCAGGGUUUCUAAUUCAGCAGGUCUGGGGAUGGAGCUCAAGUAUCUGCAUUUCUAACAAGUCCCCGGUGGUGCUGAUGCUGCUUUCAUGGACCAGUUUUGAGAACCAUACUUGGAGAAACACUUGGUUAAGAAAAAUAUGUCUGUUACAGAUUGAUCAAAGGGCUCUUAAGUUCCUUUUGUACAAUAAAUCACUGCGAUAUCAAAUGAGGUAAAUGAACAUGCUCUUUGAACUCUAAACUUCUAGACCAAUAUAAAACAUUCUAAGUGUGAAAUGGAAACAUUUACAAUUGUUAUUGAUUCUCAUCAAUGCAAUGUUCAAUAAAGAUAAGAAUCAC
rnacentral:lncRNA from 1 species